rnacentral:lncRNA from 1 species
CGUUGUCACUGCUACGUGCUAUUGGUUCAGAAAAGAUGAUCCCUUGUAUCAUCCAUCUGCUGAUUCACUCUGUGCCUUGCUUUCUAAACAGGUGUUGUAUUCCUGCACAAUUCUGUCUUUUGAGUGACAAAGAUCUCAGUGAUGGCAAUUUGUCCAGAAAAUGGAAGUGUACAGUUGUUAACUGCUACGUGAAAUUCUGAGGAUAAGAACUUAAAAACUACCAUGAAAGGGUUCAGCUGAUCGCUUUCUGUGAUAACUAGUGGGUGCUAAGUAUUCCCCCGAGGCUUCUUGGGUCAGCAGCUUCUCUGGCAAGUGCAAGUUUGUGCUCAUGAUAUGAAUGCUGUGGUGUGUGAUUGCUCUUCUGUGGUAUUCAUGGAGCUGCUGCCGGAGUCACGCAGUUUGCCACUGUUACUGCUACCUCUCCGUGUAGCAGAAAGAAUACCUUACUCAAAAUGAGCUAACUGUCAUUACAUCAUUGUUUUCAUGAACCACUGAUGAGAGCAGUACAGUUUGGACCAGUAACAAAUCAGCUUUUAUCAGGAGGAUACGCUAGGUGAGCUCUCGGACAGAUCCCAUAUAAGGGAUUCUGAAAAGAUAGCAAAGAACUCAGCAGCUUCAUUCCAGCAACGUAAAUCAUCAGGAAUAUGGACUUACUGCCUUUCAAUUUGUUUCCAAUGUCAGAUGAACUGGUAGAGGAAGGGCAAGCUUGGAAGAGAUUUGUUUUCAAGUGGAAGACUCCUUGCUGACAGGCCAGAGCGAUUUUAUUCUAGGAAUUUAUUCAUUUACUUAUUUUAUGUCAGUCCAAACUAGAUUUUGUGAGUCCCAAACUAAAAUCUUCCCAGUCCACAUGUACAUACCCAUCUCCACAUUUGAAAAGGACAGUACUGUGUGCUCUGAAAAAAGCAUUUUUUAUUUCCAUGUAAUGUUACUAGUUUUUAGGCGUGAUCUUUUUUAGUGCUGAACACCACUUG